CCUACGGGUGGCAGCAGUGGGGAAUAUUGCACAAUGGGGGAAACCCUGAUCCAGCGACGCCGCGUGGGUGAUGAAGUCCUUCGGUACGUAAAGCCCUAUCAGCAGGGAAGAAAAUGACGGUACCUGACUCAUACUCCACGGCUAACGACGUUCCAGCAGCCGCGGUAAUACGUAGGGGGCAAGCGUUAUCCGGAUUUACUGGGUGUAAAGGGAGCGUAGACGGCAGUGCAAGUCCGGAGUGAAAGCCCGGGGCUCAACCCUGGGACUGCACUUGAAACUGUAAAGCUGGAGUUCGGGAGGGGUAGGCGGAAUUCGUGGUGUAGCGGUGAAAUGCGUAGAUAUCAGGAGGAACACCGGCGGCGAAGGCGGCCUGCUGGACCGUAACUGACGUUGAGGCUCGAAAGCGUGGGGAGCAAACAGGAUUAGAUACCCCAGUAGUC
rnacentral:rRNA from 1 species